rnacentral:rRNA from 1 species
AUGGAGACCGACUGUCUAGAGGCAGUUAACCUCUGGAAUUCUUGCUAUACCGGUCGCUCGGUGAUAGCACCUAUCCUGUUAGAAAUUGGAGAGCUAGCUCCUAGUUUUAUGUCUUUUUCUAUUCAACAUGUAAUAAGAACAGCAAACGGUCCUGCACAUCUCUGUGCUAAGUGUGGGUUGACGCUUACAGUGACUGAAAGCUGGAUAGACUCUACUCCUAGCUUCCUGAUCAGUAGCCUAUUGGCGGACUGUUCGGCGAAUGCUUUUGUUGAACAAAACUCUCACAAAUUCCAUGCAAAAAAAAAAGAGUUUUCGUAUUUCCCCGCACCCCGCUUCUCUUUGUCUUUUUUUUUGAGAAGGCGCUUCUCUUUGUCAUGUUUCAGUGAGCCGCGGAUUGACGUCACACCUGGUUUGGAUGAGCAAGCAGCCCAGCCCAACAUGGAUGGAUCAUUGUCCUACUACAGGCCAUGCCAAGCGGCAAAUCCUAUUCGGCACUGCAGGCGCCGGUUAGGGACAUCCUAUCUGCCACAUUCUACGGCAGAAUGGUAG